UUGUCCGGAUUUACUGGGUGUAAAGGGUGCGUAGGCGGAUUGGCAAGUCAGAAGUGAAAUCCAUGGGCUUAACCCAUGAACUGCUUUUGAAACUGUUAGUCUUGAGUGAAGUAGAGGUAGGCGGAAUUCCCGGUGUAGCGGUGAAAUGCGUAGAGAUCGGGAGGAACACCAGUGGCGAAGGCGGCCUACGGGGCUUUAACUGACGCUGAGGCACGAAAGUGUGGGUAGCAAACAGGAUUAGAUACCCUGGUAGUCCACACUGUAAACGAUGAUUACUAGGUGUGGGGGGUCUAACCCCCUCCGUGCCGGAGUUAACACAAUAAGUAAUCCACCUGGGGAGUACGACCGCAAGGUUGAAACUCAAAGGAAUUGACGGGGGCCCGCACAAGCAGUGGAGUAUGUGGUUUAAUUC
rnacentral:rRNA from 1 species